UCAGUAAGGUGGAAUUCUCAGAUUUGUUAAAGACUAACUUAUGCGAAAGCAUUUGCCAAGGAUGUUUUCAUCGAUCAAGAACGAAAGU
rnacentral:rRNA from 1 species